AACCUUAUCGAUAAACAAUUGGAGGGCAAGUCUGGUGCCAGCAGCCGCGGUAAUUCCAGCUCCAAUAGCGUAUAUUAACGUUGUUGCAGUUAAAAAGCUCGUAGUUGAAAUGAAGGGUAGUUGUGUAAUGAAUACAUUCGUGUAUUUUGUUAUUCUACUACCCUCCUUCUAAAUUCGAUAUAUGAGUAUUAAUUUACUUGUAUAUGGUUUUAGACGUUUACUGUGAGAAAAUUAGAGUGUUCAAAGCAGGCAUUUGCUUGAAUAUAUUAGCAUGGAAUAAUCAUGUAUGAUUUUCA
rnacentral:rRNA from 1 species